rnacentral:rRNA from 1 species
CGGAGGGUGCAAGCGUUAUCCGGGAUUCACUGGGUUUAAAGGGUGUGUAGGCGGGUAUUUAAGUCAGUGGUGAAAUCUCCGAGCUCAACUCGGAAACUGCCAUUGAUACUAUUUAUCUUGAAUAUUGUUGAGGUAGGCGGGAAUAUGUCAUGUAGCGGUGAAAUGCUUAGAUAUGACAUAGAACACCGAUUGCGAAGGCAGCUUGCUAAACAAUUAUUGACGCUGAGGCACGAAAGCGUGGGGAUCAAACAGGAUUAGAUACCCUGGUAGUCCACGCCCUAAACGAUGAUUACUGGACAUUUGCGAUAUACAGUGAGUGUCUGAGCGAAAGCAUUAAGUAAUCCACCUGGGGAAGUACGUCCGCAAGGAUG